AACGCGAAGAACCUUACCUGGUCUUGACAUCCCAGGAACCCUUCAGAGAUGAGGGGGUGCCUUCGGGAACCUGGAGACAGGUGCUGCAUGGCUGUCGUCAGCUCGUGUCGUGAGAUGUUGGGUUAAGUCCCGCAACGAGCGCAACCCUCGUCCUAUGUUGCCAGCGGGUAAUGCCGGGGACUCAUAGGAGACUGCCGGGGUCAACUCGGAGGAAGGUGGGGAUGACGUCAAGGUCAUCAUGCCCCUUAAGUCUUGGGCUGCAAACAUGCUACAAUGGCCGGUACAGAGGGCUGCGAGACCGCAAGGUGGAGCGAAUCUCAAAAAGCCGGUCUCAGUUCGGAUUGGGGUCUGCAACUCGACCCCAUGAAGUCGGAGUCGCUAGUAAUCGCGAAUCAGCAACGUCGCGGUGAAUACGUUCCCGGGCCUUGUACACACCGCAUAC
rnacentral:rRNA from 1 species